AAAAUCCGUCGACUUUAGAAAUCGUGAGGGUUCAAGUCCCUCUAUCCCCCCAAAAAGACCGAUUUGACUAUUUCUCCUACCCUCUCUUUUUUUUAGUGGUUCAAAAUUCGUUCUCUUUCUCAUUCAUUCUACCUUUUUACAAACGUAUCAGAGCAGAAUUUUUUUUUUCUUUUAUCACAAUCACAAGUGGUGUGGUAUAUAUGAUAUACGUACAAAUGAACAUCUUUGAACAAAGAAUCCCGAUUCACAAUUCAUAUCAUUGCUCAUACUGAAACUUAUAAAUUAUUCUAUUCAAGAGAUCGAAUUCCACGCUCAAGACUUUUAAUACUUUUUUUAUCUUUUUUAAUUGACAUAGACCCCAGUCAUCUAGUAAAAUGAGGAUGAUGCGCCGGUAAUGGUCGGGAUAGCUCAGCUGGUAGAGCAGAGGACUGAAAAUCCUCGUGUC
rnacentral:tRNA from 1 species